rnacentral:rRNA from 1 species
CAGUAGCCGCGGUAAUACGUAGGGUGCAAGCGUUAAUCGGAAUUACUGGGCGUAAAGCGUGCGCAGGCGGUGUUGUAAGACUGAUGUGAAAUCCCCGGGCUCAACCUGGGAGCUGCAUUGGUGACUGCAACGCUGGAGUGCGGCAGAGGGGGAUGGAAUUCCGCGUGUAGCAGUGAAAUGCGUAGAUAUGCGGAGGAACACCGAUGGCGAAGGCAAUCCCCUGGGCCUGCACUGACGCUCAUGCACGAAAGCGUGGGGAGCAAACAGGAUUAGAUACCCCCGUAGUCCCUGUCUCUUAUAC